GUGGGACCAGGAAACCCAGCAGAAAGAUGUCGAUCAAAACAUCUCUAAUCCACCAAAGGCCAGAGUACGUGACCUCCUGUGUGACCCCGAGGGUUGACAUGAGUGACUGUCGAGCAGCAUGUCAAGAAAUCUGAAGCAGGAGAAACCAGCGCAUCAUCAUGAGGGAUCAUGUGCAACAACGGCUGUGGCUGACAGAUUUUGGGAUUCACCUCGUUUUCCGUUUGUCUCCAGUCUCCAGCCCUUUAUCUCCGCUGCUUGUUUUUGAGCGGUGGGAUGUCGGCACAUUUAGAGAAGAAAACAGGAACAUAAAAGAUUGUACUGAAAAUGUUUUCUGGGAUCAAGUCUAGCCAUCUGUUCUUAGCAGAAUCCUCCUAUCUCGUUCAGUUAAGUCUUUCUCGCUUCAUCUCUGUUUGACUCACUUGUUCUUCUCUCACUCCGUCUCCUCUUUCUCCUUUUUUCCCCAUCUUCUCUGCAGCCCGCUCCACCUCCCCUUGUGCCCCGGCAAGUGUCUAAUAUUUCCAAUGAUGAUUUAGCUCAUAAAUCUUGAUAAAGCCACUGGCUGUUCCGUUUUAGUGGAACAGGAAACUCUUGCAGGAGUAGGAGGAGACAGAAAAUGAGGAAUGGCUCUCGGUUAUGAGGUUGUCCUGUUUUUCUGUGUUUUCCAUUUUGAUGGCGUCCUCAGGGAGAGAGCAUCCCUGUGAAUUGAGAGCAACUUUUUUUAUACUGGAAUUGACUCAAGGGAUCUACAGAGGUUUUAUUUGUAAUCAUAUCUGUAUUUGUUCAGCCCCUCUAAUGUUUGCAUUGGUAUCUUUUUGUUUU